rnacentral:lncRNA from 12 species
UCGAGGAUCAUCUGUCUUGCUGAGGAUCAGCUCCAGAAUCAGCCUGUAGUUGUUCUGGAGAGAACUCCUCCGAGGCUAAAAGAUUCACAGAACUCCUCUGAAAUCCAAGACCAACCACAGUCCUGCCAGAGCCCGCAGCAUUCUCCUGGACGCCAGAUGAGAGCAGAAAAGGUCAAGCGCAAUCUGACUGCUUCAGGUGAUGGUAGUGAAGUCUUGACAGCAGGCCCUGGUGUUAAAGAGGAUCAAGGGUAUGCAAAAUUAUCUUCCCAAGGUCAGGGUAGGGGAUUUUCUUUCAGUAGUCCUCUAAUUACAAAUCUUCAUCAAUUGCCUCAUAAUGUGUCAGGGAGAAGCUCAUUCCAGAGAGCACAGCUAAGGAGGAGAUUUCACAAAGCUUGUUCAAAUGUUCUCCUGGGCAGCGGACAACAGCGGAAAAGAACAAGCACAAUCUGACUGCUUCAGAAGGGGAUCAGAUAGACCAGUGUCAUACUGGGUCAGAUCCGUCACCAGAGGACAGGAGCAGCACUGCCAUGGAGAAUCAAGUGGGCAUGCAAGACUCUAAAGAGGCUGAUCAACGUAUGGAGGAGGGUUUAAAUUUACAUCAUUUAGAGUUUCUGACUUCAUCUGAAGUUAAUGGUCAGACAUUACUGAAAAGAGCAGUUGUGUUGGUGUCUCAUGACGAAGUGAAGCACUACCUCAGGAGUCAAGCACAAACCACUGCAGAGGAAUCAACAACCUCUGAGAGUCAGCAGGACGCAGCACCUGCCACAGACCUUCACGUGGGAGAGCAUAGGGAUGGUCUUGAGGAACAGGGCUGUACUAGUGGUACUCUAGAAGAGAGGGUCUCUCAAGAAGUGAAGGAAACCGACACCGCCUCCAUAUCUGCCCAACAAAGCACUGUCGAAAAAAGAAGGCUUUCCAAGCCCAAACCCAGUCUGAGCCGGGCAGCACAGUCCAUCCACAGACCUCUGAAUGUACAGAAGACAGAUUUUAGUGAAAGUGAGCUUCAGAUGUAUAUAAACCAUGAGCUAAGAAGACUGUCCAGUGGCCUGUGA